UUCUAUUAGGCUCUUUCUUUCAAACUCCUCGUGGGUUGAAGAGAGUUCUAUGAAUUAUGCUUGUGAUAUUCUGGUUGUUGUAAGAAAAUAUUUUGCUUUUGAAGCAGAGGAAAGUGGAAAAUGCUGCCAUGCUGCGCCAAGAGCUAUAUCUGCAUCUGAUCCACAAAUCCUUUUUUAGUAGUUUGUCCUCAAUGCUGAGUUUUCUUGUGUGUUUGAACCAUAUCUUGCUAGUAUAAAGCAUGUCAAUCCAAAUCAUGGCAAGCAUCUAGUACCAAAUCUUCGUCUUAGCAACUACGGCGGGCUUUGAUUGCCUGGAUCUCCCACCUUUUCAGUACCCAAGCAAGUUGUUCAUAAGUGAAGAGUUUGGUCCACAUGAAGAGUUUCGUCCAUCCACCUACUUAGUUGUUGGGCAGUGUAUUUGGUCAUUUUUUUUCCCAGACUAUAUACGUGAGAUCCCACAUUGAUUGGAGAGGAGAACGAAGGAUUCUUACAAG